rnacentral:rRNA from 1 species
AGGAAUAUUGGUCAAUGGACGAGAGUCUGAACCAGCCAAGUAGCGUGAAGGAUGACUGCCCUAUGGGUUGUAAACUUCUUUUAUACGGGAAUAAAGUGAGUCACGUGUGGCUUUUUGUAUGUACCGUAUGAAUAAGGAUCGGCUAACUCCGUGCCAGCAGCCGCGGUAAUACGGAGGAUCCGAGCGUUAUCCGGAUUUAUUGGGUUUAAAGGGAGCGUAGGCGGGUUGUUAAGUCAGUUGUGAAAGUUUGCGGCUCAACCGUAAAAUUGCAGUUGAUACUGGCGACCUUGAGUGCAACAGAGGUAGGCGGAAUUCGUGGUGUAGCGGUGAAAUGCUUAGAUAUCACGAAGAACUCCGAUUGCGAAGGCAGCUUACUGGAUUGUAACUGACGCUGAUGCUCGAAAGUGUGGGUAUCAAACAGGAUUAGAUACCCUGGUAGUCCACACAGUAAACGAUGAAUACUCGCUGUUGGCGAUAUACAGUCAGCGGCCAAGCGAAAGCAUUAAGUAUUCCACCUGGGGAGUACGCCGGCAACGGUGAAACUCAAAGGAAUUGACGGGGGCCCGCACAAGCGGAGGAACAUGUGGUUUAAUUCGAUGAUACGCGAGGAACCUUACCCGGGCUUAAAUUGCAACUGACGGAACCGGAAACGGUUCUUUCUUCGGACAGUUGUGAAGGUGCUGCAUGGUUGUCGUCAGCUCGUGCCGUGAGGUGUCGGCUUAAGUGCCAUAACGAGCGCAACCCUUAUCGAUAGUUACUAGCAGGUAAUGCUGAGGACUCUAUCGAGACUGGCCGUCGUAAGAUGUGAGGAAGGUGGGGAUGACGUCAAAUCAGCACGGCCCUUACGUCCGGGGCUACACACGUGUUACAAUGGGGGGUACAGAAGGCAGCUACACGGCGACGUGGUGCUAAUCCCAAAAGCCUCUCUCAGUUCGGAUUGGAGUCUGCAACCCGACUCCAUGAAGCUGGAUUCGCUAGUAAUCGCGCAUCAGCCACGGCGCGGUGAAUACGUUCCCG